rnacentral:misc_RNA from 1 species
AAUUAAAGAAAUGUAAUCGUUACAAUACCUCUCAAGAUUACCGCCGAUCCAAAGAGUGCACAAUUCAGCCUGAAUGUUACAAAUGCAUCUUUAUCCAUCUAUAUUUUUAGUGGCUUUUGACAUCCUUUUUCACCCUUUCAAAAUUUUAGAGUUUGUUCUUUCCUUUGAAUAGAGAAUGAUUUCAAAAUUUAGGAAUUGAAGCUCACCUUAAGGAGGGAGAGAGA